rnacentral:rRNA from 1 species
GACGAACGCUGGCGGCGUGCUUAACACAUGCAAGUCGAACGGAAAGGCCCUGCUUUUGUGGGGUGCUCGAGUGGCGAACGGGUGAGUAACACGUGAGUAACCUGCCCUUGACUUUGGGAUAACUUCAGGAAACUGGGGCUAAUACCGGCUAGGAGCUCCUGCUGCAUGGUGGGGGUUGGAAAGUUUCGGCGGUUGGGGAUGGACUCGCGGCUUAUCAGCUUGUUGGUGGGGUAGUGGCUUACCAAGGCUUUGACGGGUAGCCGGCCUGAGAGGGUGACCGGCCACAUUGGGACUGAGAUGCGACCCAGACUACUACGGGAGGCAGCAGUGGGGAAGAUUGCACAAUGGGCGGAAGCCUGAUGCAGCAAAGCCGCGUGCGGGAUGACGGCCUUCGGGUUGUAAUGCGCUGUCGCCUGUGACGAAGCGUGAGUGACGGUAAUGGGUAAAGAAGCACCGGCUAACUACGUG